UCAAGCAGACGUUGAGGCGCUUGAGGAGCUACUGGGGGACCGCAGUCUAAUGUCUGCUGUUGUUGCCAUGGUGGCAGACAUAGGGGGCACAAAUGUAGAUGACGCAACGAGACGAAUGAUGAAAUACAUUCUGUCAAACGAGCUGGCAUUGGACAACAUGUUUGGCCGUCACGGGAAAAAGAAGUUUAAGGACUUGUGUCUUUCAACGUUCUGUAUGAGGCUCUUAAGAAGAAUUCGUUGACUGCACAGGUGAACCAGCAGGAGGCAGAGAGGGCACUGUCGAAAUGGUUCACUGGGGCAAGAGACAGAGGAGGACGAAGGUUAUCUAGACAGCCAGUGCCAAAUUAAACAGAACUGAGCAGUGGUGGAAUGUGAGUGCAGAACAUUUGUAUUCAGCU